UACGGAGGGGACAAGCGUUAUUCGGAAUCACUGGGCGUAAAGGACGCGUAGGCGGGUUAUUAAGUCGGGUGUGAAAUCCAAUGGCUCAACCAUUGAACUGCAUUCGAAACUGAUAACCUAGAGUAUGGAAGGGGCAGGUGGAAUUAGUGGUGUAGGGGUAAAAUCCGUAGAUAUCACUAGGAAUACCGAAAGCGAAGGCGACCUGCUGGGACAUUACUGACGCUGAGGCGUGAAAGCGUGGGGAGCAAACAGGAUUAGAAACCCUAGUAGUCC
rnacentral:rRNA from 1 species